CCUACGGGAGACAGCAGUGGGGGAUAUUGCACAAUGGGGGGAACCCUGAUGCACCGACGCCGCGUGGGUGAAGAAGCGCCUCGGCGCGUAAAGCCCUGUCAGCAGGGAAGAAAAUGACGGUACCUGAAGAAGAAGCCCCGGCUAACUACGUGCCAGCAGCCGCGGUAAUACGUAGGGGGCAAGCGUUAUCCGGAUUUACUGGGUGGAAAGGGGGCGCAGACGGCGAUGCAAGCCAGGAGUGAAAGCCCGGGGCCCAACCCCGGGACUGCUCUUGGAGCUGCGUGGCUGGAGUGCAGGAGGGGCAGGCGGAAUUCCUGGUGUAGCGGUGAAAUGCGUAGAUAUCAGGAGGAACACCGGUGGCGAAGGCGGCCUGCUGGACUGCAACUGACGUUGAGGCCCGAAAGCGUGGGGAGCAAACAGGAUUAGAUACCCUGGUAGUC
rnacentral:rRNA from 1 species